UCAACCUCUUCAACGCCAAUAUAUUAAUGGAAUAAACAUGGAAUAAAUAAUUGGUUUGAUCCAUGGUUUUAUCCAGUGGUUUUAUCAAUGAUACGAGUACCUACCUAAAAUCAAGAAAAUGGCUUGGAUGUGGUUGUUUUCAUACAUUGUUAUUGUUGCCAUGAUACUAAAAUGGAACAACGCCCUCAAUAUGGCAACCUUUUCUAAUUUCGUGAAGAAUUUUAAGCAAAUGGUCGACGAGAUGUCACAGUACUUUGAGCCCUGCGGAUUCCCUAUCGAGGUGUUAGCAGGGUUCUGUAUGGAAAAGCUGCAGAAAUUUGAACGUUAUUCAGUGUUGCAGUGGCCGAAACUAUAAGUAGGUACUUCCCUAAAUCAAAAUUUGGUGUAGGUACUAUACAUAUAUGUAAUCUAAUUAAACCUAGGUUCGAAAUUAUUCCAAGAUUUGAAAAUGUAACAAUUGCAUAAAAUUAAAGUAAUUUUUUCUAUUUUUUUA